rnacentral:ncRNA from 2 species
UUCUUAUCUAGAGAGGUGGAGGGACUGGCCCUUAGAAACCUCGGCAACAGGCUUUUAUUUAGCACUGUGCCAAUUCCAGUAGCCAACUACAGGCUUGAAGAUAAGAA